CUUCAGUUCAGUUUCAACUUUGCCACCGAUAAGAUGUUGAUCCUCCGACUUGUUUUCGGCAUUCUCGCCUUGGCCGUUGCCGCUCAAGCCCGUGGUUGUGACAACAAUGGCGAAUUCUGCCGAACCCGUACCGAGUGCUGCUCACUGUUUUGUGAUACCAAGGUCAACAAAUGCCGUGACAAUUAACUUCUAACAUAAUUUUACAGAAAUGUCAAACAUUAAAUGUUUAUUAAUAAAAUAAAAGCAAACAUUUAAAA